rnacentral:rRNA from 1 species
GACGGACGCUGGCGGCGUGCUUAACACAUGCAAGUCGAACGGAAAGGCCCUGCUUUUGUGGGGUGCUCGAGUGGCGAACGGGUGAGUAACACGUGAGUAACCUGCCCUUGACUUUGGGAUAACUUCAGGAAACUGGGGCUAAUACCGGAUAGGAGCUCCUGCUGCAUGGUGGGGGUUGGAAAGUUUCGGCGGUUGGGGAUGGACUCGCGGCUUAUCAGCUUGUUGGUGGGGUAGUGGCUUACCAAGGCUUUGACGGGUAGCCGGCCUGAGAGGGUGACCGGCCACAUUGGGACUGAGAUACGGCCCAGACUCCUACGGGAGGCAGCAGUGGGGAAUAUUGCACAAUGGGCGGAAGCCUGAUGCAGCAACGCCGCGUGCGGGAUGACGGCCUUCGGGUUAUAAACCGCUUUCGCCUGUGACGAAGCGUGAGUGACGGUAAUGGGUAAAGAAGCACCGGCUAACUACGUG